GGAGAGGUGGCCGAGCGGCUGAAGGCGAUUGACUCGAAAUCAAUUGUCCCCUCUGGGGACCGGGGGUUCAAAUCCCUCCCUCUCCG
rnacentral:tRNA from 1 species